rnacentral:rRNA from 1 species
UGGGGAAUUUUGCACAAUGGAGGAAACUCUGAUGCAGCGACGCCGCGUGAGUGAUGAAGAUCUUCGGAUUGUAAAACUCUUUCCUUAGUGAAGAUAAUGACAGUAACUAAGAAGCAAGCCCUGGCUAAAUACGUGCCAGCAGGCGCGGUAAUACGUAUGGGGCAAGCGUUGUCCGGAAUUAUUGGGCGUAAAGGGUACGUAGGCGGUUUAAUAAGUCCUAAUUAAAAGGCUAUGGCUCAACCAUAGUAUGGUUAGGAAACUGUUGAACUUGAGUAGAUGAGGGGAAAGUGGAAUUCCAUGUGUAGCGGUGAAAUGCGUAGAUAUAUGGAGGAACACCAAUGGCGAAGGCAACUUUCUGGAAUCAAACUGACGCUGAGGUACGAAGGCGUGGGGAGCAAACAGG